rnacentral:rRNA from 1 species
AGAGUUUGAUCCUGGCUCAGAACGAACGCUGGCGGCGCGCCUAAUACAUGCAAGUCGAGCGAGAAGACGUAGCAAUACGUUUGUAAAGCGGCGAACGGGUGAGGAAUACAUGGGUAACCUACCCUCGAGUGGGGAAUAACUAGCCGAAAGGUUAGCUAAUACCGCAUACGACUCUCGGUCUGCGGAUCGAGAGGGAAAGCGAUACCGUGGGUAUCGCGCUCUUGGAUGGGCUCAUGUCCUAUCAGCUUGUUGGUGAGGUAACGGCUCACCAAGGCUUCGACGGGUAGCUGGUCUGAGAGGACGAUCAGCCACACUGGCACUGCGACACGGGCCAGACUCCUACGGGAGGCAGCAGUAAGGAAUAUUGCGCAAUGGGCGACAGCCUGACGCAGCGACGCCGCGUGGGGGAUGAAGGUCUUCGGAUUGUAAACCCCUUUCGGCAGGGAAGAUGGAACGGGUAACCGUUCGGACGGUACCUGCAGAAGCAGCCACGGCUAACUUCGUGCCAGCAGCCGCGGUAAUACGAAGGUGGCAAGCGUUGUUCGGAUUUACUGGGCGUACAGGGAGCGUAGGCGGUUGGGUAAGCCCUCCGUGAAAUCUCCGGGCCUAACCCGGAAAGUGCGGAGGGGACUGCUCGGCUAGAGGAUGGGAGAGGAGCGCGGAAUUCCCGGUGUAGCGGUGAAAUGCGUAGAGAUCGGGAGGAAGGCCGGUGGCGAAGGCGGCGCUCUGGAACAUUUCUGACGCUGAGGCUCGAAAGCGUGGGGAGCAAACAGGAUUAGAUACCCUGGUAGUCCACGCCU